rnacentral:rRNA from 1 species
GAGUUUGAUCCUGGCUCAGAUUGAACGCUGGCGGCAUGCCUUACACAUGCAAGUCGAACGGUAACAGGCCUUCGGAUGCUGACGAGUGGCGAACGGGUGAGUAAUACAUCGGAACGUGCCCGAUCGUGGGGGGAUAACGGAGCGAAAGCUUUGCUAAUACCGCAUACGAUCUACGGAUGAAAGCAGGGGACCGCAAGGCCUUGCGCGGACGGAGCGGCCGAUGGCAGAUUAGGUAGUUGGUGGGAUAAAAGCUUACCAAGCCGACGAUCUGUAGCUGGUCUGAGAGGACGACCAGCCACACUGGGACUGAGACACGGCCCAGACUCCUACGGGAGGCAGCAGUGGGGAAUUUUGGACAAUGGGCGAAAGCCUGAUCCAGCCAUGCCGCGUGCAGGAUGAAGGCCUCGGUUGU